UUAAACUUAGAGAGGUGGCGCCAAUUGGAUCUAGUGCACCUAGUGUUGUCAAUCCAAUUGGCGUAUGUGUGUUAAUUUAUAAAAAGGAUACGUCAAUUGGUCUGACACCUGUGUGUUUCGUAAUCUUUUUAAAAAAAUAUUAUACAUUUUAGAUAAAAGUCGAAAUCAGACCAAUUGAUAUUAAUAUUAAUACGCGUUUACACAAAAAAGACUAAUGUCGUUGACCGGAAU
rnacentral:lncRNA from 1 species